AAGAAAACAACCAGCGGCCCUUAAUCUCCACUCCCAUCCAUGGCCGCUUCCCUUUCCCUUCUCCCCUUCCUCCUCCUCCUCCUCCUCCUCCUCCCACCACUGGCCUCCUCCGACUCGCAGCCGGAGCUGGCCACCCAUUCCGAGGUCAAUGCCCUCCUCCUCCUCAAACAAUCCUUCACCAACGCCACUGCCCUCUCCUCUUGGGGCUCCGGCAAUUCCUCCCACCCCUGCAAGUCCAAUCCCGGGUGGGCCGGCAUCAUCUGCUCCCGCGAAGGCACCGUCACCAACCUCAACCUUGCUCGCAUGGGCCUCUCCGGCCGCAUCGACGCCGACGCCCUCUUAAGCUUGAAAAGCCUCCGCUCACUAAGCCUCGAUGAGAACUCCCUGUCCGGCACCCUCCCUCCUCUCCGUCAGCUUCCCGCCCUCAGAGCCGUCUUCCUCUCCCACAACCAAUUCUCCGGCUCCAUCCCUGACGACUUCUUUAAAGGCAUGACUCGACUCAAGAAGCUUUGGCUCCAAGGCAAUGCCCUCACCGGUCCCAUCCCUACCUCCCUUUCCCAGGCCACCAACCUCGAGGAGCUGCGUCUCGAGAACAACCGCUUCACCGGCCCGCUUGCGGCGAUCGCCUUGUCGUCUCUCUCCUCCUUCAACGUGUCAAACAAUGACCUCGAAGGGGAGAUCCCGACGACCCUCUCCAAGUUCAAUUCCAGCUCGUUCGAUGGCAAUUCGAGAUUGUGCGGCGCACCGCUCGAGAACAAGCCAUGCGCUGCGCCGGCUGCGAUAACGGCAUUAAGAACCCCGAGUGGGAAGGUGGCGGCGGCGUGCAUUGUGCUGAUCCUCCUUGCAUGUGCAGUGGUCGUCGGCACGUCGGCGAUGAAGAAGAACCCGGUGGGAGACUCGGACACCCUCGGGAUCGAGCACAGCAAGGUCGAGGCGGGGGACGGCGGCGGCGGCUCGCCUCGGAAGGACUACGCAAGGGUGAUGAGCCAUCAACAGCGCGAGCCGGGGCACAAGCGGAGCGAGUCCGGCGGUGGACACAGGAGGACGGGGUCGUCGACCAAGCCGGGCGCUGACGGAGGGGAUGCGGGAGGGGGAGGGGGGGCGGGGGACCUCGUGCUGGUGAACGACACGAGGGGGGUGUUCGGGCUGCCGGAUUUGAUGAAGGCGGCGGCGGAGGUGCUCGGUAGCGGCGGGUUAGGGUCAUGUUACAAGGCGGUGAUGGGGAACGGCGUGGCGGUGGUGGUGAAAAGGGUGCGUGACAUGAACCGCGUGGGGAAGGAGACGUUCGACGUCGAGAUGAGGCGACUGGGGAGGCUGCAGCACCCCAACGUGCUAACGCCACUGGCCUACCAUUUCCGCAAGGAUGAGAAGCUUCUGGCCUCUGAGUUUGUUACCAAGGGGAGCUUACUCUAUCUCCUUCAUGGUGAUCGUGGCGCCGACCACGCGGCUUUGGACUGGGGGACCAGGCUGAGGAUCGCCCAGGGGAUCGCCCAGGGGCUGGCUUACCUCCACGCCGAGCUCAACUCGGUGGACAUCCCCCACGGCAACCUCAAGUCCUCGAACGUCCUUCUCACUGCCGACUUCAAACCUGUGCUCGUCGACUACGGCUUCGUCCCCCUCGUCAACCCCUCCACCGCCUCCGUCACCCUCUUCGCGUACAAGUCCCCGGAGUCCCUCCUCCACCGCCACGUCUCCCCCAAGUCCGACGUCUACUGCCUCGGCGUCAUCCUCCUCGAGCUCCUCACCGGCAAGUUCCCCUCGCAGUACCUCACCAACGCCAAAGGGGGGACCGACGUCGUGCUCUGGGCCACGUCGGCGAUCGCCGAGGGCCGGGAGGCGGAGCUGCUGGACCCUGCCAUCGUGGCGGGGGCGAAGAAGUCGGUGCCGGAGAUGAAGCGGCUGCUCCGGGUCGGGGUGGAGUGCGUGGAGCCGGACCCGGACCGCCGGCCGGAGGUGAAGGAGGCGGCGUCGAAGAUCGAGGAGGUGGUGGCAGCGCACGCCGCCGCGGAGGCGGAGAGGGCGCCGCAGCCAUCGCACACGGCGUACGUAAGGGAUGGAGUCGGGGAGCGGUCGGCCCGCCGGGUCGGGGGCGUCGGGGAGAGAUCGGCGCGGCGGAACGGCGACGGUGUCUCGUUCGCCAUCUCGUGAUGAGGCCGCCGGGACCGCGCGCGAUUUGCCAGGGACGUUUUCUAUUAGACGGCGAUGGAAAACAUAGGCAAGCAUUUUUGCGAAUAGAGAAAGGCCAUGGACACCCACUUAUUAAAAUUUAGAAUGAAACGAAUACCUCAUCAAGUGAAUGAAGAGAUUAAUCUUUUCUUACAUGAGAAGUGGGUGGGCUAACAUCAAAAAGUUGGAUCAAAUUGUAAAAUUACUCGUAGAUGAGAGAGUUCUAUAUUUUGUAUUUCUCUUCUGAUGCAAGGAUUGUGCUUUGGAGGGAUUAUGAAGGGAGAGAUUUGUUUUAUUCUUUAUAAUUAAAUUAAAUUCAAAUUUUCUCUUCUUUUA